CCUACGGGGGGCAGCAGUGAGGAAUAUUGGUCAAUGGACGAGAGUCUGAACCAGCCAAGUAGCGUGAAGGAUGACUGCCCUAUGGGUUGUAAACUUCUUUUAUAUGGGAAUAAAAUGUUCCACGUGUGGGAUUUUGUAUGUACCAUAUGCAUAAGGAUCGGCUAACUCCGUGCCAGCAGCCGCGGUAAUACGGAGGAUCCGAGCGUUAUCCGGAUUUAUUGGGUUUAAAGGGAGCGUAGGUGGAUUGUUAAGUCAGUUGUGAAAGUUUGCGGCUCAACCGUAAAAUUGCAGUUGAAACUGGCAGUCUUGAGUACAGUAGAGGUGGGCGGAAUUCGUGGUGUAGCGGUGAAAUGCUUAGAUAUCACGAAGAACUCCGAUUGCGAAGGCAGUUCACUGGACUGCAACUGACACUGAGGCUCGAAAGUGUGGGUAUCAAACAGGAUUAGAUACCCGAGUAGUC
rnacentral:rRNA from 1 species